ACUCAAAGGGAAAAAGACAAAACAGUCCAAAAAAAAAACAGUCGUCCAUCUUUCAUCCGGCAUAUAUCCAUAGGUGUUGGAUAAAAAGCGAAGUUAUGGAGCCGAAAUGAAGUACUUGGGGAAAUUAUCUUUGAAGGAAAAGUUACCAAGAACCAGGCGCAACAGGAUUGUUCAAGGAUACAGAAAAUUACUUACUGUAUUACUACCACCACUUAGAUGAUUGCCGACAUCUGUCAAAAAAUGAAACAUUUCAGGAGCUCUAAAGAAUUGUGAAUUUAACUUAAUCAUAAUGCAUCUGAAUGAACAUAUAUUUGAUAUUUGUUCAGUGGUAUUCAGAUGCAGACGAUGGUGCAGAAUACUGUGAUUGUAAUGCUAAGGACUGCUUCAUGAGUAGUUGAUUCAUGAGAUUAUUCCGAAUACAUUUACAGACGUCAUUUAGUGCAAACAUUUUGUAGUGAGUUACAAAGGAUUAUGUCUUCCAUGAUUUAUUUGCAUUAAUAUGCAGAAGAAAAAAAACAGUGAUCAUAAGAUGCAUAGUUUUAUUCAAAAUCAGAGACAAUUUCUUACUGUCACCAAGUUGUUACACUUGAAAUUAUUUUCAUGUUAUUUUUUUUGAAAGCAUCGUUUAUAGACAUAUCUUUGGUACUUUAAAAGACAAUGACUUGAAAUUAAAAAUGUUUCUUUAUAAUCAUCAUCUGCGUGUGUGGUUACAAUCACAAUAAUUCUAAUUGUAUUUCUUGGCAGAGUUAUGCCCCUUUCAUACUUAAAAUCAAAAUUAAAAAUAAAGAAUGUCAGUACACCUUCUUUACUUGACCUUUAACCCCUCUGUGUAGUAGGGGCUUUUCAGAUAUUGGUGUAUCUUCCUUUUAAAGUAGAGGUCUCUUAUUGAGACAUUAAUUUUAUUUAUUUUACUGUCAAAUUGCCGAAUAGUGGAGCGUGCUGUCUUACCGACAGCUCUUGUUAUUUUCACCCUUAUACGUUAUUCACGAUGUUGACAGGCACAAUGCCUGUGAAGUUUCUCUGAAGUUAUGGCCAUUGAAUUUCUCAAAUUUGCUAAAGUUGACCAGACUUGAGCAGUUCUUAUCCUUUGUUCACCAAACUUGACUACUAUGCUUGCAGGCAUAAUAUCUCAGAAUAGUUCUAUAACUAGCUGGAUAUUCUCAGUUAUGGCCCUUCAGUUACUACGAAAAAUGACAGUACCUUAGCCAAACUUUUGUCAGCUCAUUAUCUGGAUAUUCCCAGCUAUGGCCCUUCAGUUACUACGAAAAAUGACAGUACCUUAGUCAAAAUUUUUGUCAGCUCAAUAUCUUUGCUACUCUAAACAUCGCUCUAAAUCUCUUGUCCUUGAAUUAAUCAAAAUUUUAAAAAUGUUACAUCUGUCUCAGAAUUCUGAAUAAGGGGUUUAUUUUGGCGGUUUGGUUCUGUUGUUUAUUUUCGUAUCAAAUGUCAGGUAUCACUAUAUAAAUCUAAACUUGAUAGUCCUUUGAAUAGAGAUGUGUUAUAAACAUUAAAUAAAUUUCGUAGAAGCAAGA